rnacentral:lncRNA from 1 species
GGAUUAAUUAGAAUAAGUAGUUGUCAUAGCUAUUUUUUUUUUUUUUUGAGGCGGUAGUUGUCAUAGCUAUUGCUUUAAUUAAUUUUAUUACAGUAAUUCAAUUUACCUAUAAUUAAAAGUUACAAAUCAUAUAUAUCUACAAGUCAUAUAGAUCUAAUAAGAGCUUUAGGGCGUGUUUGGUUUUGGGUAAGGGAUUAGUCAAUAUAGUUAGUAAACUAGAUUAUUAGCGUGGAUAAAUAUGUGUUACUAAUAUUUGUUGGUUGUUUGCUAUU